rnacentral:rRNA from 1 species
GGCAGUCGACGGGCCCGGGAUCCGAUUAGACUUUGAUCCUGGCUCAGGACGAACGCUGGCGGCGUGCCUAAUACAUGCAAGUUGAGCGAAUCAAUGGGAGCUUGCUCCCUGAGAUUAGCGGCGGACGGGUGAGUAACACGUGGGUAACCUGCCUGUAAGACUGGGAUAACUUCGGGAAACCGGAGCUAAUACCGGAUAAUUUCUUUUCUCGCAUGAGGAGAGAUGGAAAGAUGGUUUCGGCUAUCACUUACAGAUGGACCCGCGGCGCAUUAGCUAGUUGGUGAGGUAACGGCUCACCAAGGCAACGAUGCGUAGCCGACCUGAGAGGGUGAUCGGCCACACUGGGACUGAGACACGGCCCAGACUCCUACGGGAGGCAGCAGUAGGGAAUCUUCCGCAAUGGACGGAAGUCUGACGGAGCAACGCCGCGUGAGCGAACAAGGCCUUCGGGUCGUAAAGCUCUGUUGU